rnacentral:lncRNA from 1 species
AGAAAGAUCAUCAGAGUUUCAUCAUGUCAAAACUACUUUUACACGGUGGAUCUUAAAAUAUCUAAUGAUGAAAAUUAUAAAAAUGCUUAAGAAACUUCUCAGUAAUCAAAAGUAAAAUUUGAUUAAGCUAAAGAAAAGACUAAAUAAUCUUUACAUCCACCCUAUAGAAAAUCAUAUUUCAAAUUAUGGUUCUAUGAACAGAUGAUGAAAUAUUAUUCUGGACAAAUUAAGAACAAAGUAUACAGAAUGUGAGAGGAAUUUCACCUGCUGGGCCAAAUGUGUGGUGAAAGGAAGAACCUUCUCUGGGAGGCAGGAAUUCUUGAUCUAAGGAGGACAAAAACAGACUUCUGAUGCGGAUCUCUUAGAAGAAGAAAUGACAGGGAAGGACAAAGAAACCUUGGACUUGAAAUGGUUAAACAAAUAUUGAUAUGAGAGGUGUAACAAAAAUAACAUUAUGGACUUGACUUCAGAUGGCCUAUGGUAAAUGUAGGUUAUCCAGCUCACAACUGAAUGGAUGUCCUUGCCUCUAAAUGUUAGAUGAUAAUAAAGGGUCCUGUCAGACUUGUAGCAAUGAUACAUGCUU